CCGCGCGCCGGAGGAAAGUCCGGACACCACAGGGCAGGACGUCCGCGCCGGGAGGUGCGGAACCCCGUCGGCAAACGCCGGGGAAGGAAAGCGCCACAGAAACCAAACCGCCGGAGCGCAAGCCCCGGCAAGGGUGAAACGGCGGUGCAAGAGACCACCGUGCGGCCGCCGAGAGGCGCCGCGCAAGGCAAGCCCCGUCCGGUGCAAGGCCAAAUAGGGAGCCGCAGGAGCGGCCCGUUCCGCGGCGCCCCCGCGCCACGGCUCCGGGUUGGCCGCAGAGUCAAAUGACUGGACCCGCAAGGGCGACAGAAUCCGGCUUAUUCGCC
rnacentral:RNase_P_RNA from 1 species